UCUCCGUUGGUGAACCAGCGGAGGGAUCAUUACAGAGCUGCAAAACUCCCAAACCAUUGUGAACGUUACCUAUCCCGUUGCUUCGGCGGGCGGCCCGGGCCCCGCGCCCGGCGCCCCCCGGCCCCCCGUGGGCGCCCGCCGGAGGUAAACCAAACCCUUGAAUUGCCUGGCCUCUCUGAGUCUUCUGUACUGAAUAAGUCAAAACUUUCAACAACGGAUCUCUUGGUUCUG
rnacentral:misc_RNA from 1 species